rnacentral:rRNA from 1 species
CAUGCAAGUCGAACGAGAAUCACUGGAAGGAGUUUUCGGACAACGGAAGGUGAGGACAGUGGCGGACGGGUGAGUAACGCGUGAGGAACCUGCCUUUCAGAGGGGGACAACAGUUGGAAACGACUGCUAAUACCGCAUGACACAUAGAGAUCGCAUGGUUUUUAUGUCAAAGAUUUAUCGCUGAAAGAUGGCCUCGCGUCUGAUUAGCUAGUUGGUGAGGUAACGGCCCACCAAGGCGACGAUCAGUAGCCGGACUGAGAGGUUGACCGGCCACAUUGGGACUGAGAUACGGCCCAGACUCCUACGGGAGGCAGCAGUGGGGAAUAUUGGGCAAUGGGCGCAAGCCUGACCCAGCAACGCCGCGUGAAGGAAGAAGGCUUUCGGGUUGUAAACUUCUUUUGUCGGGGACGAGUAGAAGACGGUACCUGGCGAAUAAGCCACGGCUAACUACGUGCCAGCAGCCGCGGUAAUACGUAGGUGGCAAGCGUUGUCCGGAUUUACUGGGUGUAAAGGGCGUGUAGCCGGGAAGGCAAGUCAGAUGUGAAAUCCACGGGCUUAACUCGUGAACUGCAUUUGAAACUACUUUUCUUGAGUAUCGGAGAGGCAAUCGGAAUUCCUAGUGUAGCGGUGAAAUGCGUAGAUAUUAGGAGGAGCACCAGUGGCGAAGGCGGAUUGCUGGACGACAACUGACGGUGAGGCGCGAAAGCGUGGGGAGCAAACAGGAUUAGAUACCCUGGUAGUCCACGCUGUAAACGAUGAAUACUAGGUGUGCGGGGACUGACCCCCUGCGUGCCGCAGUUAACACAAUAAGUAUUCCACCUGGGGAGUACGAUCGCAAGGUUGAAACUCAAAGGAAUUGACGGGGGCCCGCACAAGCGGUGGAUUAUGUGGUUUAAUU